rnacentral:rRNA from 1 species
CCUANGGGGGGCAGCAGUCUAGAGGCUUCGGCAAUGGACGAAAGUCUGACCGAGCGACGCCGCGUGCGGGAAGAAGGUCGUAAGAUUGUAAACCGCUGUCAGUAGGGAAGAAUGCCCGGAUGGCGAAUCCGGGAGCGACGGUACCUGCGAAGGAAGCCCCGGCUAACUCCGUGCCAGCAGCCGCGGUAAUACGGAGGGGGCGAACGUUGUUCGGAAUUACUGGGCGUAAAGGGUGCGUAGGCGGUUCGAUUAGUCUGAUGUGAAAUCCCCUCGCUCAACGAGGGAACUGCAUUGGAAACUGUCGAGCUCGAGGAUGGGAGAGGCAGGUGGAAUUCCUGGUGUAGCGGUGGAAUGCGUAGAUAUCAGGAAGAACACUCGUGGCGAAGGCGGCCUGCUGGCCCAUUUCUGACGCUGAGGCACGAAAGCCAGGGGAGCGAACGGGAUUAGAUACCCUANUANUC